UUAUGAUGGUCCACGGAGAUGGGGCCCAAUACCUACAGUUGUCAUAAAGAACAUGAGAUUCUAAGCAUCCAUUGAAGAUUGUAAUCAUUACAAACAUUAUGUAGUCAAUUUCAAUAAAGUAGUCCUGCA